rnacentral:rRNA from 1 species
GACGAACGCUGGCGGCGUGCUUAACACAUGCAAGUCGAGCGGUAAGGCCCUUUCGGGGGUACACGAGCGGCGAACGGGUGAGUAACACGUGGGUGACCUGCCCUUAGCUCUGGGAUAAGCCUGGGAAACUGGGUCUAAUACCGGAUAUGACUCCAUGACGCAUGUUGUGGGGUGGAAAGCCUUGUGCGGCUAGGGAUGGGCCCGCGGCCUAUCAGCUUGUUGGUGGGGUGAUGGCCUACCAAGGCGACGACGGGUAGCCGGCCUGAGAGGGCGACCGGCCACACUGGGACUGAGACACGGCCCAGACUCCUACGGGAGGCAGCAGUGGGGAAUCUUGCGCAAUGGGCGAAAGCCUGACGCAGCGACGCCGCGUGAGGGAAGAAGGCCUUCGG